rnacentral:lncRNA from 1 species
AGAAUAAUUUUAAAUUAACAAAACUUUCAAAUCUAAAACUAAUAAUCAAGAUAUAUAUGUCUUAAAAAUUAGUGGCUCUGAUACCAUCGUUAGAAAAUCAGGUACGAUGCAUGCAUAGAUUUCAAAAAUUUUUGAAUAGCAGCGAAAAAGAACUGGGUUAAACUCUUUAACCCCUACAUACAUUAGAUCAUAUCUAAUCCUAUUCAAGUCCAGAAAUAAAGACACGC